GGUGAGGCUGCGGCUCUGGGCAUUUCUGGGGAGGAGUUCCAUGGCUUUCCACAGACUCUAACCACCCUGCAGCGAGCCGCAUGCUAUACGGGUUAAACUCGGGGCAUAUCGAACGAACAAUUCACUUCACGGAAGACUAGCAAUAACCAGGACACCUGCGCUAUUGAUCAGCUAUCUCAACACCAGAGAGACCCACCAGCACAAGGGGCAAGAAUUGGCCAGGAGGCGCGCGGCGCUGCGCCCUCACCGCGUCCAGACAGACCCUUGAACUUCACCGCCAAAAAACGCACCGCUCCGCAGACCCGACCCGGGAGAGGGGUUUAACUUCCCCUCACCUUUCCCAUCCCUCCUUCAUUUCCAAGGACAUACUCAAAGGAAACUGGCAACACUCGGUCUAGGGUUUCGCUCCUGCCCUCGGCGGACACCGAAACCACUUCUCCCAGGGAAGUUAAUUAAAGGAACCAUUAAUCCGCCCAAAAAUCCAAAACCUACCCCCAAAGCUCAAGAGCUCUGAAAAGAGAUCGAGGGCGCCUCUGCCGAUCUUGAACAUCUCUGCUCGUCGCUGGGGCUUAGAGGUGGGCAGGGGGUGCCAAAGGGGCGCAGGCAAGACCCGGCCAGAGGGUUAGACGCCGGCCCCCGUUCCGAGGCGGCCCAGUCUACACGCCAGCGACGCCGGCUGAGCCGGGCUUGGAGGCAGCCAGGACCGGCUCUUCAGGGAAGGACAUCCCCACAACCAGGACCCCUGGCAAAGAGGAAUUAAAGACCCAGUUGUGUUGUGAUGUUCAUUAUUCAGAUCUCGGAGCGCUCACGGAUCUCUUGGAUGUCCCCUGCCAGCUCAACUGAUGAGACUGCUACUUUAUGUACCACUGCUUGAAAAAGAAGGGAAUCUCCUAUUUCUCACACAGGAUAACAGUUGAGAGUCAUUGCCACAAUAAAACAGACAUGUUAGCGGUCAGGUUCAUAUAAGGACUAAGCGGCCCCAUGAAUCACAUAGGACUGGCUAAUCCUAGGACACUCCUCUCUGUGGUUUGCUAGGUAGCAGAGAGGGGAAGCUAAAUAGUAGUUUCUAAUAACAACUGGGAAGGCUUUUUCUUUUUAAAUAAAAAUGGAAUUGGCAUAAUUGGGAAUGAAGAUAAAGCUUGGAACCAAGUUAGAGAAGGCAAAGUGUACGUAGAAGAGCUGUUACAAAUAUAAAACUUGGCUGCGUUCUUUGUGAAGGCUCAAACUUGGGAAGGUUAAAUACCAUAAAUUUUUUCAUUUGUUCUGUAUUUUGAUCCUGAAAAGAAAGCUGGCUUUGCCCAUGUAUUACUUUAAAAACUUGGGGGAAAGGAGAAGAAAGGGACAAGUUUUUAAAAACUGUUUGAAAACAUUACAGCUGAAAGAAGCUACAUAGGAGCUGGGUAGAGAACCUAGUGACUAAGAGAAUGAGGAAUGCCGAGUACGCAUCCUGUGGGCGGGGCUCUACCCUUGCCGCUUUCAGAUUUAACUGCCUGAUCAAAUAGUUUUACAAGAAUAAACUCAGGAAACAGGUUGAGAAAUGAGCAGCUGAGACUGGAGUGUUCACUUUGCAAAGAACAUACUACGAAAAGAUCUGCACUCUAGGAGGUCUCAGCUGAUGAGGAAGAUGCUAGCACAGUGUCCUAUGGUCAGAAAAGAUGACCUGGCAAGAGGGGGAGUGGAGGAGAGGCAGGAAAGGGGAUCCCUUCAUGCUGAAAUCAAUGCAAUGAUGUCUGAUAUAUACAGAAAAACAGGUCUUGUAUAAAUAUGUCAUUAUAAGUGACAAGAUAAUAACAUUUUCUAGUGUAUGGAUUCUAUUUCUUUAUGUCAUUCUGGUCAACCAAAAACAAUCCUAUUUGGCAGAUUUCUGGCAUUUUGCCUCUUCCCCUAAUGACAGAUCUAAACACAUAUAUAAAAAUAGGUGGCCACAAAGAAAUAACUUCUGGCUUUAAAUGUCAUUUGGCUAGAAAUGUCUCAGGCAGCCUCUCCCAACUUUCCUGUGAUAUCUUUGAAAACAAAGAGAAAGACAAGAACUCAAAACAAGCACCAGAAACUUGACCCAAUCAAAGUCUUACCCAGAUUCUUGGAAGCAUUGUUCUUAAUUACAAGGCAAGAAACAUAGGAUUGAUACAAACCCAUCCAAAUUAUGCCUCAUGUAAUAGAAGUCAGUGGGAAGCCAGCUGCCCCUAUUUUCUUAGAGACACAGAGAUUCACGGUCUGUACCAACCAGAACACUAAGCGGGCACCCAUGUGCCAUGGAAGUCCUGCUUUUUGAGGAUGCCAGUACUACAUCUAUUUGGAGAUAGCACCUCCCAGGAAAUAACUGGCCAGGAAGUGUGUGUAUACGUGGGGGAGGGGUAGGAAGAAGGAGAACCAGCAAUUUGUACUGUAUCUUGGGAGGUGUAACUUUAACUUUACAAGCUAAACACUACAGGCAAGGGUGGAGACAGGAAGAUUCCUAAUAGCAGGACACUCUAUCAAUUGCAGUUUUGCAGGUGACUCUGUGGGUCACAAGAAUAGAGAACCAGAUGGGGAAUGUGCUACCUCAGUAGAAUGAAAAUGUUAUUUGGUGCAUGUCUGCUAGAAACUGAAAAUUGGUCUGGACUCAUGCAUGUCAACUUGUACUUCAGGUCUGAAAAGGGGAUGCAUAUGUAUAAAAUUCAACAGAAUGUACAAAUAAUUAAGAUUAAUAAGUGACCUGAGCAAGGAUGCAGAAUACAAGGUCAAUUAAUUUCUAUGUACUAGCAAUAAAUAAUUUUAAAUGAAGUAAAAAUACUAUAUACAACAUAAAAUCAUCAAAUAUUAAAGAAUAAAUACAAUAGAAUAUGUUUAAGAUCUCUACAUUGAAAACUAUAAAACACUGAAGGGAAAAUGUUUAAAAGACCAAAAUAAAUGGAGGAAUAUACCAUGUUUGUGGAUCAAAGCAUACAAUAUUGUUAAGACGUCAAUCCUCACUAAAUUCUAUUGUAAUCCCAAUCCAAAUCCCAAAUAUUCUUCUACAAUAUGGCUUUGCCACUGCCCCAUCAAUAGAAGUUUACUUUUUCUCUCUUUGAAUCUAGAUAGGCUUAUAUGCUUCAUGGCUUCCUCGGCAGGUGAUAAAUGGCAAUUCAGCUUCAACCUGGAUUACAGGAAUAGCCAUUGUUUUAGACUUCAACUGUCACGUAAGCAGUUCAGCUGAACUGAGGCACCAUGACGUGAGGAAGCCCAAAGUCAGCCUAUCUGGAGGGAUCACAUGGAGAGGUCCCAAGACUACACAAAAAGAAGAUGAUAUGAAUGCCUGGCCAGCCCCUAGCUGCUCUAGUUCCUUGCUGUUCCAGCUCCAGCCAUCAUCCAACUGCAACUGCAUGAGAGACCCCAGAAGCAUAGAGCUAAGCCCUUCCCAAAUUCCUUCCCACAGAAACCCUGAGAGAUAAUAAAUGACUGUUGUUGUUUUCAAUCACUGUUUUGAAAUUGGUUGUUAGGCAGCAAGAGAAGCCAGAACAGGGACCUUGGAAUACACAGAAUUUCUUAAUCAGGAUACAAAAAGA
rnacentral:lncRNA from 10 species